GAUGAACGCUGGCGGCGUGCCUAAUACAUGCAAGUCGAGCGAACGGACGAGAAGCUUGCGUCUCUGAUGUUAGCGGCGGACGGGUGAGUAACACGUGGAUAACCUACCUAUAAGACUGGGAUAACUUCGGGAAACCGUAGCUAAUACCGGAUAAUAUUUUGAACCGCAUGGUUCAAAAGUGAAAGACGGUCUUGCUGUCACUUAUAGAUGGAUCCGCGCUGCAUUAGCUAGUUGGUAAGGUAACGGCUUACCAAGGCAACGAUGCAUAGCCGACCUGAGAGGUUGAUCGGCCACACUGGAACUGAGACACGGUCCAGACUCCUACGGGAGGCAGCAGUAGGGAAUCUUCCGCAAUGGGCGAAAGCCUGACGGAGCAACGCCGCGUGAGUGAUGAAGGUCUUCGGAUCGUAAAACUCUGUUAUUAGGGAAGAAAAUAUGUGUAAGUAUCUGUGCACAUCUUGACGGUACCUAAUCAGAAAGCAACGGCUAACUACGUG
rnacentral:rRNA from 1 species